GUAGAGGAGGAGCUACCAAGAUCUGUAUAAGUCAAGCAAUCUUUAUGUUGCACACAAUCUAUUACCCUUUAAAAGAGGGAGUUCAUGAAAAACUUUACCCUCUCCAAAAUAGCCUUCCACCAAAUUUAAUUACCAACAUAUCCUGAAUUCAUAAACCACUCUCCCCUUUCAUCGGUUACGCCUAUAUUCCUCCUCCUUUCAAUUCAUCGAUUACGAGCCCUCCUCCGAUCUUCCGUUACCUACACCAAGUUUUAAAGAUGAAAUCAAUUCAGCAGUUCAUCCGUUACCCUUCUUCUCCGCCAAUCUUCUCUGUUCUUCCGUUACGCCGUCCCACGAUCUUAAGCCAUCAAUCUCCAAAGAUGAUUGUCAUUGCGCUAAUCAUCAACGCUGCGCCUCCGCCAUCAUCUCCUCAGUUGUCAGAAUUUUGGCAUCGGUCAAGGAUUGUCCGAAUUAGGGCUUGCUUCAAGUCUUCAUCUUGCUCCUUUGUCAAAUUCGUCAGACAAAUAUUGACGGGGAACAAGUGAAGGCUGCCAUAAGAGCCCAGCAAGACCAGCAGAUUGACAAUGAGUGGAAUGCUCCAAAACCAAGACAUCUCUCUCUCCUGAAGGGUGCUUUACAACGUGGGCUUGUGAGUGGAGCCGUUUCUCCAAUAUUAAUCUUUAUGCUUUGUGAUGAUCUACCUGACUGUAUUCAGAGCACAAAUGAAGCAGACUUCUUCGCUGAAUACGGCGAAGCGAGCCGAUACCAGAUUCAUGAGGUGGUCAGCAAGGGAAGUUAUGGGGUCGUCGACGCUGCCGUGGAUACCCACAAUGGAGAAGGUGGCUAUCAAGAAGAUAAACGAUGUCUUCGAGCAUGUUUCGGAUGCUACUCGCAUCCUGCGAGAGAUCAAGUUGCUUAGGCUGCUCCGCCACCCUGACAUUGUAGAAAUUAGGCACAUAAUGCUUCCUCCCUCGUGGAGAGAAUUUAAAGAUAUUUAUGUCGUUUUCGAGUUGAUGUAAUCUGACCUUAAUCAAGUUAUCAAGUCAAAUGACGAUCUCACGCCUGAACACCAUCAUUUUUUCA